AAAUUGAAGAGUUUGAUCAUGGCUCAGAUUGAACGCUGGCGGCAGGCCUAACACAUGCAAGUCGAACGGUAACAGAAAGCAGCUUGCUUCUUUGCUGACGAGUGGCGGACGGGUGAGUAAUGUCUGGGAAACUGCCUGAUGGAGGGGGAUAACUACUGGAAACGGUAGCUAAUACCGCAUAACGUCGCAAGACCAAAGAGGGGGACCUUCGGGCCUCUUGCCAUCGGAUGUGCCCAGAUGGGAUUAGCUAGUAGGUGGGGUAACGGCUCACC
rnacentral:rRNA from 1 species